AACGCUGGCGGCGUGCUUAACACAUGCAAGUCGAACGAGGUUCAUCUGGUGGCAACACCAGAGAAGACCGAGUGGCGAACGGGUGAGUAACACGUGAGCAACCUGUCCCGAAGACUGGGAUAACACCGGGAAACCGGUGCUAAUACCGGAUACCCCCACCGGGUCGCAUGGUCUGGUGAGGAAAUGCCUGCUUCCUAAAAGAUGCAGACGCUUCGGGAGGGGCUCGCGGCCUAUCAGCUAGAUGGUGGGGUAACGGCCUACCAUGGCGUCGACGGGUAGCUGGUCUGAGAGGACGAUCAGCCACACUGGGACUGAGACACGGCCCAGACUCCUACGGGAGGCAGCAGUGGGGAAUCUUGCGCAAUGGGCGAAAGCCUGACGCAGCAACGCCGCGUGGGGGACGAAGGCCUUCUGGGUUGUAAACUCCUUUCAGCAGGGACGAUUGUGACGGUACCUGCAGAAGAAGCCCCGGCCAACUACGUGCCAGCAGCCGCGGUAAUACGUAGGGGGCGAGCGUUGUCCGGAUUCAUU
rnacentral:rRNA from 1 species